ACAAACGACUCUCGGCAACGGAUAUCUCGGCUCACGCAUCGAUGAAGAACGUAGCAAAAUGCGAUACUUGGUGUGAAUUGCAGAAUCCCGUGAACCAUCGAGUUUUUGAACGCAAGUUGCGCCCGAAGCCAUUCGGUCGAGGGCACGCCUGCCUGGGCGUCACGC
rnacentral:rRNA from 1 species